rnacentral:rRNA from 1 species
UACGAAGGGGGCUAGCGUUGCUCGGAAUCACUGGGCGUAAAGCGCACGUAGGCGGCUUUUUAAGUCAGGGGUGAAAUCCUGGAGCUCAACUCCAGAACUGCCUUUGAUACUGAGAAGCUUGAGUCCGGGAGAGGUGAGUGGAACUGCGAGUGUAGAGGUGAAAUUCGUAGAUAUUGGGAAGAACACCGGUGGCGAAGGCGGCUCUCUGGACCGAUACUGACGCUGAGGCGCGAAAGCGUGGGGAGCAAACAGG